GACGAACGCUGGCGGCGUGCCUAAUACAUGCAAGUCGAACGCUGAAGGAGGAGCUUGCUUCUCCGGAUGAGUUGCGAACGGGUGAGUAACGCGUAGGUAACCUGCCUGGUAGCGGGGGAUAACUAUUGGAAACGAUAGCUAAUACCGCAUAACAGUAGAUGUUGCAUGACAUUUGCUUAAAAGGUGCAAUUGCAUCACUACCAGAUGGACCUGCGUUGUAUUAGCUAGUUGGUGAGGUAACGGCUCACCAAGGCGACGAUACAUAGCCGACCUGAGAGGGUGAUCGGCCACACUGGGACUGGGACACGGCCCAGACUCCUACGGGAGGCAGCAGUAGGGAAUCUUCGGCAAUGGACGGAAGUCUGACCGAGCAACGCCGCGGGAGUGAAGAAGGGUUUCGGAUCGUAAAGCUCUGUUGUAAGAGAAGAACGAGUGUGAGAGUGGAAAGUUCACACUGUGACGGUACCUUAACAGAAAGGGACGGCUAACUACGUG
rnacentral:rRNA from 1 species